GCCUGGCCCUAGUGAUUUGGCAACUGCUAAUAUGUCACUGGGCAUAUCUCUCAUUGGCUCAGGAGCUCUGCCUGAAUGACCCAUCAGUUGUUCCAGAUCUCAAGGCACUUACAAUUCAGCUGGGAACAAAAGGCAACAGAAAACUUUGAAAUGCAGCAAGUAUUCAUCAAAUGCUAAAUUUGGAGUUUUAGGACCUUCAAGGAGAGAUUGAUAAAGGCCGAGUGGAUACUGAAGAUUUUCAAUUACAGAUAAACUGGCUCACACCACACUUCAGCAAAAACUCAAGGUCAAACAAGUUCUCUGAUUUAAGUGUCAGUGGGACUUCUAGGACAAUACUUUUCCGCCAACUAAAGGAUGAGAACUUGAAUGUUUAUCUGUGACUUCUAAAUAAAUGACAUCUGUAUCCAAGCUGGCAUUCAGCACUGAACAAAGUAGGGAAAAGACUGAACUGAAGAACCCCAAGAGUCAAGACUGCCUGAGUGAGCACAGAAGAGAUCACAUGUUCUGUGGCUUCUUUGAAAUGGCCUGAGAAUCUCAGAGAAGGACCAUGCUUGUAGUCUGGAGCCAGAGGACCAAGGGGACCAGAGCCUAGGUCUUAAGGCCUGCUGCACCUGUACCAGUUACAGUACCUGUAACUUCUCUAGUAAAAACUCAAUUACUGUAA